UACGUACGAGGCGAGCGUUAUCCGGAAUUACUGGGCGUAAAGCGCGCGCAGGCGGAUGCUUAAGUCGGGCGUGAAAUCUCCCGGCCUAACUGGGAGGGGUCGCUCGAGACUGGGCGUCUUGAGGACUGCAGAGGUGGGUGGAAUUCCUGGUGUAGUGGUGAAAUGCGUAGAGAUCAGGAGGAACACCGGUGGCGAAGGCGGCCCACUGGGCAGUCACUGACGCUGAGGCGCGAAAGCUCGGGGAGCGAACGGG
rnacentral:rRNA from 1 species